rnacentral:rRNA from 1 species
GCUACAGGCUUAACACAUGCAAGUCGACCGUUAGCAUCAUCAAAGCUUGCUUUGAUGGAUGGCGACCGGCGCACGGGUGAGUAACACGUAUCCAACCUGCCGACAACACUGGGAUAGCCUUUCGAAAGAAAGAUUAAUACCGGAUGGCAUAGUUUUCCCGCAUGGGAUAAUUAUUAAAGAAUUUCGGUUGUCGAUGGGGAUGCGUUCCAUUAGGCAGUUGGCGGGGUAACGGCCCACCAAACCAACGAUGGAUAGGGGUUCUGAGAGGAAGGUCCCCCACAUUGGAACUGAGACACGGUCCAAACUCCUACGGGAGGCAGCAGUGAGGAAUAUUGGUCAAUGGACGAGAGUCUGAACCAGCCAAGUAGCGUGAAGGAUGACUGCCCUAUGGGUUGUAAACUUCUUUUAUACGGGAAUAAAGUGAGCCACGUGUGGCUUUUUGUAUGUACCGUAUGAAUAAGGAUCGGCUAACUCCGUGCCAGCAGCCGCGGUAAUACGGAGGAUCCGAGCGUUAUCCGGAUUUAUUGGGUUUAAAGGGAGCGUAGGCGGGUUGUUAAGUCAGUUGUGAAAGUUUGCGGCUCAACCGUAAAAUUGCAGUUGAUACUGGCGACCUUGAGUGCAACAGAGGUAGGCGGAAUUCGUGGUGUAGCGGUGAAAUGCUUAGAUAUCACGAAGAACUCCGAUUGCGAAGGCAGCUUACUGGAUUGUAACUGACGCUGAUGCUCGAAAGUGUGGGUAUCAAACAGGAUUAGAUACCCUGGUAGUCCACACAGUAAACGAUGAAUACUCGCUGUUGGCGAUAUACAGUCAGCGGCCAAGCGAAAGCAUUAAGUAUUCCACCUGGGGAGUACGCCGGCAACGGUGAAACUCAAAGGAAUUGACGGGGGCCCGCACAAGCGGAGGAACAUGUGGUUUAAUUCGAUGAUACGCGAGGAACCUUACCCGGGCCUAAAUUGCAACUGACUGAACCGGAAACGGUUCUUUCUUCGGACAGUUGUGAAGGUGCUGCAUGGUUGUCGUCAGCUCGUGCCGUGAGGUGUCGGCUUAAGUGCCAUAACGAGCGCAACCCUUACGGGUAGUUACCAUCAGGUUAUGCUGGGGACUCUACCCGGACUGCCGUCGUAAGAUGUGAGGAAGGUGGGGAUGACGUCAAAUCAGCACGGCCCUUACGUCCGGGGCUACACACGUGUUACAAUGGGGGGUACAGAGGGCCGCUACCACGCGAGUGGAUGCCAAUCCCAAAAACCUCUCUCAGUUCGGACUGGAGUCUGCAACCCGACUCCACGAAGCUGGAUUCGCUAGUAAUCGCGCAUCAGCCACGGCGCGGUGAAUACGUUCCCGGGCCUUGUACACACCGCCCGUCAAGCCAUGGGAGCCGGGGGUCCCUAAAGGGCGUAACCGCGAGNGA